UUGGGUGGGGAGGAACACUUGGUUAACAAUCGCGCAAGUUUCCUAAUGCAAGCCGAAUGAGAACAGAAGUCUCACGUUGGAAAAACACGGAAAAGCGUGCUCGAUUUUGAUUUCAUUAAGAAUAAAAACCGUAAAAGUAUGGCCUAACGAUCCUUUGCCUCUGAGAAACUUUCAGCUAGAG
rnacentral:ncRNA from 1 species